AUUGAACGCUGGCGGCAGGCUUAACACAUGCAAGUCGAGCGGGGUGAUGGUGCUUGCACUAUCACUCAGCGGCGGACGGGUGAGUAAUGCUUAGGAAUCUGCCUAUUAGUGGGGGACAACAUCUCGAAAGGGAUGCUAAUACCGCAUACGUCCUACGAGAGAAAGCAGGGGAUCACUUGUGACCUUGCGCUAAUAGAUGAGCCUAAGUGGGAUUAGCUAGUUGGUGGGGUAAAGGCCUACCAAGGCGACGAUCUGUAGCGGGUCUGAGAGGAUGAUCCGCCACACUGGGACUGAGACACGGCCCAGACUCCUACGGGAGGCAGCAGUGGGGAAUAUUGGACAACGGGGGGAACCCUGGUCCAGCCAUGCCGCGUGUGUGAAGAAGGCCUUAUGGUUGUAAAGCACUUUAAGCGAGGAGGAGGCUCUUUUGGUUAAUACCCAAGAUGAGUGGACGUUACUCGCAGAAUAAGCACCGGCUAACUCUGUGCCAGCAGCCGCCGUAA
rnacentral:rRNA from 1 species